rnacentral:rRNA from 1 species
UCUCAGUUCAGACUGCAGGCUGCAACUCGCCUGCACGAAGUCGGAAUUGCUAGUAAUCGUAGGUCAGCAUACUACGGUGAAUACGUUCCCGGGCCUUGUACACACCGCCCGUCAAACCAUGAGAGUUGGCAACACCCGAAGUCGGUAGUCUAACCGCAAGGAGGGCGCCGCCGAAGGUGGGGUUGAUGAUUAGGGUUAAGUCGUAACAAGGUAUC